UUGCUGUUUUGCUGACGAGUGGCGGACUGGUGAGUAAUGUCUGGGAAACUGCCUGAUGGAGGGGGAUAACUACUGGAAACGGUAGCUAAUACCGCAUAACGUCGCAAGACCAAAGAGGGGGACCUUAGGGCCUCUUGCCAUCGGAUGUGCCCAGAUGGGAUUAGCUAGUAGGUGGGGUAACGGCUCACCUAGGCGACGAUCCCUAGCUGGUCUGAGAGGAUGACCAGCCACACUGGAACUGAGACACGGUCCAGACUCCUACGGGAGGCAGCAGUGGGGAAUAUUGCACAAUGGGCGCAAGCCUGAUGCAGCCAUGCCGCGUGUAUGAAGAAGGCCUUCGGGUUGUAAAGUACUUUCAGCGGGGAGGAAGGGAGUAAAGUUAAUACCUUUGCUCAUUGACGUUACCCGCAGAAGAAGCACCGGCUAACUCCGUGCCAGCAGCCGCGGUAAUACGGAGGGUGCAAGCGUUAAUCGGAAUUACUGGGCGUAAAGCGCACGCAGGCGGUUUGUUAAGUCAGAUGUGAAAUCCCCGGGCUCAACCUGGGAACUGCAUCUGAUACUGGCAAGCUUGAGUCUCGUAGAGGGGGGUAGAAUUCCAGGUGUAGCGGUGAAAUGCGUAGAGAUCUGGAGGAAUACCGGUGGCGAAGGCGGCCCCCUGGACGAAGACUGACGCUC
rnacentral:rRNA from 1 species